GGCCGCGUGGCCCAAUGGCAAGGCGUCUGACUACGAUAUCGUAGACAUCAGGAGAUUCUGGGUUCGACCCCCAGCGUGGUCA